rnacentral:rRNA from 1 species
GGCGGCGAGUGGCGAACGGGUGAGUAAUAUAUCGGAACAUACCCUAGAGUGGGGGAUAACGUAGCGAAAGUUACGCUAAUACCGCAUACGCACUAAGGUGGAAAGUGGGGGAUCGCAAGACCUCAUGCUCAUGGAGUGGCCGAUAUCUGAUUAGCUAGUUGGUGAGGUAAAGGCUCACCAAGGCGACGAUCAGUGGCUGGUCUGAGAGGACGACCAGCCACACUGGAACUGAGACACGGUCCAGACUCCUACGGGAGGCAGCAGUGGGGAAUUUUGGACAAUGGGGGCAACCCUGAUCCAGCAAUGCCGCGUGAGUGAAGAAGGCCUUCGGGUUGUAAAGCUCUUUUGUCAGGGAAGAAACGGUGAUCUCUAAUAUAGAUUGCUAAUGACGGUACCUGAAGAAUAAGCACCGGCUAACUACGUGCCAGCAGCCGCGGUAAUACGUAGGGUGCAAGCGUUAAUCGGAAUUACUGGGCGUAAAGCGUGCGCAGGCGGUUAUAUAAGUCAGAUGUGAAAUCCCCGGGCUCAACCUGGGAACUGCAUUUGAGACUGUAUGGCUAGAGUGUGUCAGAGGGGGGUAGAAUUCCACGUGUAGCAGUGAAAUGCGUAGAUAUGUGGAGGAAUACCGAUGGCGAAGGCAGCCCCCUGGGAUAACACUGACGCUCAUGCACGAAAGCGUGGGGAGCAAACAGGAUUAGAUACCCUGGUAGUCCACGCCCUAAACGAUGUCUACUAGUUGUCGGGUCUUAAUUGACUUGGUAACGCAGCUAACGCGUGAAGUAGACCGCCUGGGGAGUACGGUCGCAAGAUUAAAACUCAAAGGAAUUGACGGGGACCCGCACAAGCGGUGGAUGAUGUGGAUUAAUUCGAUGCAACGCGAAAAACCUUACCUACCCUUG